rnacentral:rRNA from 1 species
CCCUUAGAUGUUCUGGGCUGCACGCGCGCUACACUGAAGCGUUCAACGAGUAUUCACCUUGCCCGGGAGGGUUGGGUAAUCUUUUCAAAACGCUUCGUGAUGGGGAUAGAUUAUUGCAAUUAUUAAUCUUCAACGAGGAAUUCCUAGUAAACGCAGAUCAUCAAUCUGCAUUGAUUACGUCCCUGCCCUUUGUACACACCGCCCGUCGCACCUACCGAUUGGAUGGUCCGGUGAAGCCUCGGGAUUGUGGUUCUUGCCGCUUUAUUGUGGCGUGACCGCGAGAACUUGUCUAAACCUUAUCAUCUAGAGGAAGGUGAAGUCGUAACA